rnacentral:rRNA from 1 species
UACGAACCGUACAAACGUUAUUCGGAAUCACUGGGCUUAAAGGGUGCGUAGGCGGCCAUGUAAGUGGGGUGUGAAAUCCCUCGGCUCAACCGAGGAACUGCGCUCCAUACUGCAUGGCUUGAGGGAGACAGGGGUAAGCGGAACUGAUGGUGGAGCGGUGAAAUGCGUUGAUAUCAUCAGGAACACCGGUGGCGAAAGCGGCUUACUGGGUCCCUUCUGACGCUGAGGUACGAAAGCUAGGGUAGCGAACGGG